rnacentral:SRP_RNA from 1 species
GCCGGGCAUGGUGGCGCAUGCCUGUAAUCCCAGCACUUUGGGAGGCCAAGGCAGGCGGAUCACCUGAGGUCAGGAGUUCAAGACCAGCCUGGCCAAUAUGGUGAAACCCUGUCUCUA